AGGAAGUCCCGUUUUUCUUUGAGAAGUGCUUCUGAUGUUCAAACUGCUCUCUGCCGUGUCUUAACAGCUCUCCAAAACCUCAGAAACCAAAGCUUUAUAUGAGACCAAGUCUUUCAUACAUGGGAAAAGAGCUGUGAAUCUAAAAGCCUGGAUGAAGAUUUGUGAGAUUUGCACCUCUUCCAACUGAGAGUACACACUCUAGAAUCAGACACAUUGCUUAAAAUCACCUUCCUACCAAAUCAAACUCACCUUUAGUCGUGCAGUGAGAAAGCCUUCCUGCAGAACCACACCAUCAUCCCCUUCUCUCCCCACUUGGCCCCCUCCAGACUCGUGGGCACGUCUUGAAGGCCGAACAUGGUUGUACUGACACUGGAGGAUGAGACGAGAACACAAAGCCAGAACUAAUUAAAUUAGGCAAACUUCUGCC